AGACGUCCUCAGCAUCUGCAUUCCUCCCGGCUUCUUCCGCCCAUCCCAGCCGCUCGUGAAGCCAGCCAUCCUUCCGUUUCAGCCUCCCACACCCGAUUUCAAGCUGUGAUCCCAGCGUCCAAAGCUUCCGGAGCCGAUCCAUCCUCCUCCGCCUCUGCUUCCGCCCGUGAUGCAUCCAAGAUCCAGCAUCUCAGCCUCUCCCAUUGUCCACGACGCAUCCGGAUCCACCUCCCGAAAUCUCAGGCGCCCGUUCCCCCUCCUC
rnacentral:lncRNA from 1 species